ensembl:lncRNA
GAUGGUCAGUAGGUUUCUCUCUGGAGCUUCAGGAAAAAGGGUCUCAUUGGAGUGAUUUGUUAGGCAGUCUCCCUUAAUGGCCCACGUUUGGAAGGAGUUGGAGGCGGCACAAGAACAACAGUGAUUAUUUGUGCUCUUUGGGGAUGCCUGUCCUGCUGUCUGCUGCCAUGGUGCCCCUCUACCUGGUGUUGUUUCUGGAACCUGAAGCCUGUAUGGCUGAGCAUCAGGAAGAUGGAGAUGAGCAGAGCCCUGAGCUGGGGGCUGCAGGAUGGAGGGGACGAGCUGAGCUCGAGUGUGUGGGUGUUGGUGCCUAGGGACCCAACCUGUGGAAAUCGAAGUCUCUGAGGAUUCCUAUGUGACCAAAGGUUGGAUUUCACUUCUCAAAGAGUCAGCUUUUGAGCAUUCCUUUAUGGAGCUGCAAGAACAUAAAGUCAUCACAGAGAGCCUCGUUAAAAGUGUUUAAUGAGAGCAGUGUGAUCCCACAGCCCAAGGGUCAGCAUGAGAGCAAGGACAGCCCAGAAGCCUCGUCCCACCAGAGACCCCAUUCAUCAAGGGACACACUGACUGCUGUCACCAACACCCAGACAGGCACAGGAGACAAAGCAACCCAAGAGAACUGCAGCUGGGUAUCAACGCCAGUGCGAAUUUCUCAGCCCAGAACAAGCCAAGACUCACUUCUGGCCAAAAUUCCUGCACUAAUGCUAACCACCAUCUGAUUACAUGAUUUUCCUGAGAUCCUGCUGCAAGUCGUUGUCACAGAAAGGGCUCAUGUGGGCACACUGCAGCCCUGGUUCCCUGCUGCCUACCUCUGCCUCUGGUUGGUCCGGUGCCCUGAGCAGCCCCAUCACCUGUGCUCUGCUCCCUGCUGGAAAAACAUGCUCGUUUUCAAAGGUAAGGGAGUCUUGGGUUACUAGGAACACAAAUCAUUAUGAGUAAAACUGCAUUCCCAAUUUAUUGUAUUUGUUUUAUUUAUAAUUUUAUUACUUAUUCCACAUUUUCCAUAUUUUCCAUGUGUUUCGCGUCAUUCUGGUCCGUUUUGGCCUUGACGUGGAAACUUGGGCUCUUCUCCCUGCCUGACGUGUUGAAGGCUUUAUAAACAGCCUUGCUUCAUUGUUUGCUCUGCCUGUUUCCAUCCCGCAGGUGUGUGGCUGGAGCUGUGCUUGAGACAAGUCCGAAUGCUCUCUGCCUGGGGAGCAGGAUGGGGCUGAGGGGAAGAAAAGCAGCAGUUAAUGCAGAAAGAAGAGAGAAGGAGAUUUUUCCGUGCAGUCAACAUGUUGCAUGUGCAUGUCCAGAGUUCUCGUGAACCAAAAACCAAUUCACUGACUGAGCUGAGGAAACUCCUCCCCGUGUUGGUUCAUUCCCUGUGCUGCACAUCUGCUCCUGGAAGGUAAUGUCAUGCAUCUGUAUCCAUAGUUAAUUCACUAUUUUCCCCUCUCCUCGAUGCAUAAGCAAGUAUUUGCUUUCAUGCUCACAUCUGACCACAGUCUGUGAGCAAAUCAGGCAUGUUCAGCAAUGCUGCUCUUAGCUGCUCUUCCAAGGUUUUGUGUCAACAGGAACAUUAGGUCAAUUUGCAGACAGCCCCAGAAAAUCUGGUGCAGCAUCUCUCACACUAUUGACAGGGACUGCUUGAAUUCAGCAUUGCCAGGCUAACAGUUGUCAUUCAGCUCUUGAGCAGAUUUGCACCACCACCUCAUCUAUUUUUCAUCAGUCUUGCACCCUCUGUGACAUCCGUGUCAAUCCAUGAGUUCAGUCUGAUUCAGUUCAAUCCCACACAUACCGAGUGUGUGUGCCAUGCUCAGACCUGAGUAAUCACUUGGAUGACAAAAGGAUGCUCAGUUCCUGCAACUGAAAAGAAAAGCCUAAGAAGCAACUCGCUGAGUUUGUUCUAGACAAACUCCAUGGCAAUUGGAUGAUCCUUAAGGUCCCUUCCCCAACCCAAGCCAUGCUGUGAGUCCACAGUCAGAAACACACACAAAAAAUGUCACUUUUGCUGGCAGGGGAUGGGCAGGAAAAUUGGAUUAGAACAUCUGGUGGGGUUGUUAGCAAAUUUAGUUUGCUAUGAAGCUGGCACUCCACACUGCCCCUCCUCAACUGUUGUGCUGCAUCACCUCCACUUCCCUGUGCUCCUGCCUUGCCCUGUGCUAACCCUGAUGCUGACCUGCCCUGGCUCCCCAUUAGAGCUGCAAUUAGGGGGUGACUCUUAAUAGCGAGGUCUUGCCUCAGAGUGGGGAGAAAUGUUUCUGUAGCUCACAUGCGACAAUUAAAGAUAAUUUAAAAUGUAAGUAAUUGCCCUGGGUUUCUGGAAACUACUGUAGAGGUCUUGUCCCAGGCAUCUGACAGGCACGGUGGUGUAUUUUGACAAGUUUUGUGCAGAUUUCCAUUAAAUACCAACUAGCAGCUCUAUUUUCUUUGGAGUCACUGGUCAGGAAAUGGUGAUUGUGAAAGGUCAGGUCUGGAAGGUUUGGGAGGGGAUGGAGGUGUUAUUCACGUUCCGAUCCAUGGGGAUCUGGUUCCAACAUAAAUCUUGCAGUUGCUUCAUCCUUGCUUUCUGCACAGUCUUUCAGCAGGAGAAAGGCACAGGCUGAUCCACAGGGAUCUUCUGUUCAGUUUCAUGGCCCCUGCUGAGAUGCCAGGUGAGGCGGGACCUACAAAAUGCCCCUUGGCAAGCUGGGGAGUCUGAUUUUAGACACCUGGCAAGCAGCAGAAUGUUUGGUUGUAUCCCCAUCCCAUCACAGCAUUGCACUAAGCCUUCUAGUUUGCAAAAGUGGAUGAGAAAUUGCAGUUGGUUGAAGGCUUCUGCAAGGUCAGAGUGUGAACAUCCUGCAGAAUGCACUCAGAUACUUUCAGAGGCUCAGCAGUCCCUGAAAGAGCUUUGCAUCGUGCAAACAAACUGUCAGCUGAGCUUGGAUUCUGCCACAUGUCCUAACACUAAGGAGCCAUCUGUGUGCAGCACACUACAUAUGACCUUUCUUCUCCCUCUCCUUUCUUUCAAGUUGUCUCUUUUUUGACCUACAUUUAAGAUACCAAAUGAAUCCCAGCUGAGCACAGAGUUAAAUAUGCAACCCCAUACCAGCAUGUAAAUGAAGAGUCAGUCCAUGUACAGCAUGAGAACAAGUAUAUGGAAACAGAAUAAUCUGAAAAUGGAAAGGGACCCAUUCUGAACAUAGUCACCAUCUUUCACGUUUCAUUGGUCUGGGUUCUUCUCUCAGUUAUGGAGGCUUUUCUCCCAAGUCAUUUCAGGUGGGCCUGGAGGAGGACUUGUCACAAAAAAGCAGAGAGAAACCUGUACCACGUUUCAAAACUGCACUUUUAUUUCUGCUUCCAUAACUGAUUUUCUCAUGUAUGUUCAAAAGCCAGAGAUCACAUCUCUGUACUAUAGAAGUUUUCAGUUUGUGCCAGGGGAUAGUAAAAUUAAAUGUGUCCAGAAGCAGUUGCAUGAUCAUGAGCUCUGCAAGUUCUUACCUUUGUAUGGCUUAUAGAAGACAAAAAUACAUAGGAGAAAUUAAAGCUACAGAAGUCUCACCUUCAUUACUGCUUCCAAGCAGCUGUCUUUCUGGCUUUAGUAAUUCAGACACAUGGGCUACACCACCAAAAAAAAAAACCCACAACCAUCAUGGAACUUCAUCAAGAUCAGAAAUGAAAUCAAAUAUGUACAUAAAAAAAAUAGUUCUUAUUUUUAUCACAACUAAAGUGUUACUUAUGUCACAUACAGGUCAUUAGAGAUGAGACAAAAUGACCAGAGCUGGUUUGGGGGCUUUGGUUUUUGCUCUUCAAGAGGCCACUUGAAGCUUUAACUCAGCAUCACUCACUUAUAUUCUGCCUUUAAAGCCAUUGGAGUGCUCAGACCCAGCACAGGGCACAUUGCCAUCACCCAGGUGGGGACUGCAUGCCCCUAACCAAUGUCACCAUGCCCACAUGAUGCCUGGGGCCUCUCCAAAGCGAGGUUUACAUUACCAGCACAGCACUGCCUUCACCUCACUUCCUGGCUCAGCCCUUUUGUAGAGCAUUCCAUGUUGGGCCACACAAGGGACAGAAGGGGGGAAAAACACAGGCAAAACAGAUCUAGCUUUGAAACACCAGAGUCCACAUCACCAAACCCUCUGUCCUCAUCCAUGCAAAACCCUUGUAGGACGCAUGGAGGUAAGCUUUUGAAAGGGUUUUUGAACACAUCAUACAUAGGAAAAUAACACGCUGUAGAAACUUGGCAAUGAGUUUGUCUCCAGUAGCCAAGUUGGGCAUGGAAAAAAAAAUUAGACAAUAAAAGGUCAUUUCUAGCCAAGUUUUAAGUGAGUAUACAAUACAUACCUUUUUUUUCCCCCCAGUUCCUUGCCUUAGUUAUUGGCCAACUUGGCCAGGAUCUUAUGGAAAACACUGAAAUGGAAUUAUUAUAAUUGUGUGGGUUUUUUUCUCUUUUUGACCAAGCAAAAGUUCUUAUAAGCAAUAAUUUAAUUACAGCAAAAGCAUAACACAGACACAGUCUUAAGGAUGCAUCAUCAAAAGAAAAAAAAAAACCACCAAACUUUAAACUACAGCUACUUCAUGUGUGCCAGUGAACUAAUACUGCUGCUAUUUAUUAUUUUUCUUAAUUAUUUAUUAUAAAGCCUGCCAUAAAGUGGAAAAUUACCAGUGCUGAUCACCUUUCCAACCAUUCCAGGUGGAAGAUGGCACAAGAACAGUUUUGCAAAGCUGACCUCAAUGAGAGAGUAAAGGAGUCAAGCAUGAGAGUGAAAGGGAAACAAACAAAUCAGAUUUGAAUAUGCUAAGCUAAAUAAAUAACCACAAGCCUGAGAUCAACAGGAAUAUUAUAAGCUGCAGAUUUGGAGCUGUGUUAAACAGGAACAAUCGUUUCCUUUUUGCCACUUACUGAAGGAAGAAGGCCAUUCCUUUCUGCAGAGUUGAUCUGCUACGUUCUCAUGCUCUCUAGGAAAUAUCCUUCCAAGUCAGAUGACUUCUUAGCAAGUGAGGAGAGGAAUAUGGUUUUUUGUUGCAAAAUUUAGAACUCAUUCCAUUGCUGCGUCACCAGCUCAGAUCUUUGUCUCAGCCAUUCCUUUGUCUCUUGCUCAGCCAUGACCCACUGCUCAUCCGCCGGGCUGACAGCACACCAAGUCCUGCCUAAAUGCAAGAACCUCAGAGCAUCAGUAGGACAUCCCACCCAGCCAAAGAACCCGGAGGAAACUUCUAAGCUUGUAUGAGUCACUCAUCAUCUCAAGCAGCAUUAGAAGGAAAUUGCCUUAGGGCACUGUCAUCACCAUUUGUGAGUAUUUGUUGACAGCAAAUGUCUGUGCUACUGUUACGAACCUCAGGCUGGGCUAGGUUUGAACCUAAGAUCACCACUUUUAGCACAUAUACAUUGGCCAGCUGGGCUGAAAAAUGGAGAAUUCAGCAUCACCAGAAGCUGGCAGUUGCCUUAAAGUUAAUGUGCAUCUGCGCAUAGCCUUCGCCAGCAACAAAUGCAGAGUGAUGGGCUUAGCUUAGUUGAGAACAAAGUAUUCUUACAUCCCAAUGAACCUGAAAAGACGGAGGUGAAAAAAAAUACCAUUACUGAUCUGGAACUAGAUGUUAGCAGGGGACAAAACUGCAAAUAGAUAUGCACACACACACUUCUGCCAUUGUUACACAAUCUUUCACAGCUACCAACAAUCUGCACAUAAUCCCUGAGUCUAGUUCACGUUCCCAUGAUCUGAUGGCAUCACCAGGAGAGUGCUUAUGUAUUCCAGCCAGGGCAAGCAGCACAGACUGGAGGCUUCCCAGGCAAGAAUAAGGUUGAUGCGUGUGUCACCUAAAAGCCCCCCUUCCACAUAUCUCACUCUAAGACAUCUCCCUGAAUUUACUGCCUACAAACCAACUGGCAAGCAGACAUUACAGCUUUUCCUAAAAUUUAGGUGAGCAGCAGCAAGGAGGUGGCUGGGCCAUUGCCUCCCAGCUCUUCCUCCAGGCUGCUCAGCUCAGUCUGUGUAACCUCAUCAGCAUCCUAGCAAAAAGCUAUUUUUGCCUCCUAAACAAGCACAAGAAAAACCUUGGUUGAAGCAGAAUGGAAAAGAGCUUCACGGCUUCCCUGGAGAAGGGGAAUGCAAGAUGGUGGUUGGUAGCCAUCUAUCCCAUCUGUUGGAGCCUAGACCCAGUUUUGUCUAAAGAUCCUUGGACAAAUUUGAUGUGCUCACAAAGGGUGGCUGAGAUCCUAGCAGAGCUGAAGUUGACUUCAGACCUGGCCAGCCCAAGCAGAGGACAUUGCUGUUGUUUAAAAAUGAUACUCAUUAAGAGCAGAAGUCAGGCAAUGAUCACCUUCUGUAGUUGAUAAUACUCAAGGAGGGAGAUGGUGGAAAAAUGAAACCUUGGAAAAUAAAACUUAUUUGGCACCGCUGAUUAAAACCAGUUUGCGUUUCAUUGUUAAAGGCUGUGUUUGCUCAAGGUUUAUUCAGCUCUGGUCUCUUCCAUCCACAUACGGUUUGUUUUAAUGACUGUGGAGUUAUAUGAAUCUAUUAAUUUUUUUUUCCUGAAAGUUUCAUAACAACAAUGCCUGUUUUUUUCAUACAGCACUUUACAGCCACGCAUCUGGAAAUACAUUGCAAAUAGGCAAUUAGUAUCAGCCCUAUUUUGAAGAUGGAGAUACUCAGAGUCCAAGCAAGACAGCUAUUAAAGAACGGUGCCAAAAUUAGGCCUUUUGCUUCAUCUUGACAAGCUAGAACUACAGCCUCUUGAAGACAACAGGGAUGCAUGAAAAGCAUUUCAUUUAGCUAGCAGUAACUCUGGCUCAGGUUGGACAGACAAGAGGACAGCAGCAAAGACAGACUGACUCAUGCUAAACAACAGAGGUAGGAAGAGGACUUCCAGUAAUGACAGACUUAGGUCACUGCAAGCACUUACUUCCCAAAGCCAGUGCUGAGGGAUCUAUCUCCAGUGAAGGGCUGACCAUCACAGGUUCCUGUUUUCUGAUAAGAGCUUGCUGCAUUUUUCCUCUCCAUGUUUUUCAGCCUUUCCAGAUCUUCCUGUUAAAGCACAGAGUUGAAAACCAAUAAGAUAAUAUUAUUUGAGGCAAAUCUCUAACCCUUUAAUCAGGCUAUGUGGGAGGCAAGAAAAUGUUAGAUGCAAGGGAAUAUUAAAUUAAUAAUACUAUGUUGAAGUUGAGAUUAGUCAGAUUCCAGAGACGUAUAAUAACUAAGUGCUGCCACCUCUGAUAUGGCUGUGUGGAGGCAAUGAGCAGGCUCACAGCAAGGAAGCAGGUCCUGGGCAGGACAAUGCUGCCAGACAUACUGUGGCAGUGCACUCAGCCCUUCACAUAGCUGCUGGAUGUAAUACCACAGCCCCUACAAAAGCUCAGAGCAGCCUUAUCCCAGGGUGCUGCACGAUCUUCCCACCUCUCCAUCGCAUCCAGCCCAACCUGGGGUGCUGCAUCCAGGGGUGCCCAGUCCUGUCUGGUGUUCCUGGAUCCCUGCUCACAGGUGGGAUGCUCAGGAGUGUCAGUGAUGGGAGUGAAAAUGAGGUGAACAGGUAAGAAUACAGACACUAUAAAGAAGUGAAGAGUGAAGAAACAUUUGGAAGAAAAACACAAAGGAAUUAAAGAUAUCUAGAGUGAAAGAGAUGGUGAAUGGCCUGAAGGGAGUUAAUGAGAUCCAGAAAUGCAAGUUGGAGAAAUGUUGAUUUUAUUUAGCAUUAAUUGCAGGAAAGAGCCUAUAAAGUGUGGUAAAAAAAUUAUUAAGUACCACUAUGCAAUGCCAGCUUUAUGCCAGCCAUCCCUACGAAGCAGGUGUAUUAUUCCUAGUUCCCUAGGUAUAAAUAAAUAACUGCUUUUCCAUGGUUUUCUUUUUUUUUUUUUUUAAAUGAUGGCUUUUCAUUAAUUUUUACUGCCAUAUUGUUAUAGUUCUGAUUCCUCCAGAGCAGCUCUGGGGAUCAGUUGGUGCUGGAGUGUGUGUAUGCAGGUUGGUACCUGCGAGCCAUGGGGCACUGCAUGGGAGAUGCAGUGUCUGUGAUCAUAGCACCCCAGGGGUGCAGCCCUGGUCUUCUUGCCCAUGGACUAAACAUGACCUCACCCAUGGUCUGAGCUCUGACAGCAACAUCUGGGUAAAUACAGAAAGGAACCUGAUGGAAAAUGGACAGUUUGAUGGUUGAUGGACAGUUGAAGGGUGAUGCAUUUUGCAUCGAGGGCUCAUACAGCAAAGCCCAGAAGGAACAGACGGACCACGUUACCCAAGAAACCUUUCCCAAGAUUGAGGUUGCCCUGGGAAAGAACAUUCUGAGGGACAUCACCACGAUGCAAGCACUGGUAUCAUGUCAACCCAUUGGUUGUGGUGUUGGCCUCUGGUGUCAGGGACGGGGAGUUGGGCUUCCCAUGCCACCACAGCCAUCCAGCACUCCUGACUGCACACUCCAAGACAAGAAAAGAAAAAGGAAAAUAAAACCUAUGUUCCGUUCCACUUUUAACUUUCUGCUCAUGCCCAUACAUUCCUCCUGGCGUUAUUACAAACGGGCUCCAAUGUUGCCUUUGUUAAGAAUGAGAGCAGAGCACAUUUCCCCGAGCAAUGUUUGUAUCAGCAUUUUCAGGCUCCUUUUAUCGAGUCUCGCACUUCUCAGAGGAGACUCAGCGGGGAGAUGAGCUCUGGAUGCGUUUUCCUAGCAACGUCUCGCUUCAGAGAGGCCACCAAAGACGUUCAGGGAAGCAGUGAUUCCCUGGUAGUGCCUCAGUCCAAGCUCUGACCUGGAACCGUGGGCUCAGCAAAUACACAUAAAUCUUCAGCUCACGUCCAAAUCAUCGCAAGGUUCAGUGAAAAUAGCAAAACUGCCAGUGGAUCUAACCGAAGUUUUAAUCCAGCUCCAGCAUGAUUUAUGGCCUCAGGUGGAAACCAUGAAGCACAAUGGCCUCAGCCCAAGCCAGGGGACGUUCGGCUGCCCCAGCCCUAAGGUGUUGUGUUACGGCACUGAAGAGUCAAGGCUGCAAGAGGCAUGGAUGAAACUGAACAGCACAAACACGUCCCAGCAACGCCUUCAACCUCUGUGCAUCACAGGCAGAGUAAGUGCCACUGACAGAUCACACCAGCCUCCUCCACAAGGACGGAGGGAAUUAAAAAAUAUAUAUAAAAAUCAAAUAAUAAUAGCAGCAAGCGACCAAUAGAGGCAUUUUUUUUCUAAUUAAAAUAGCAAUUGACAAGCUCCACCAUUUGCAACAGUGCUUCCCUAAAUGCAGUAGUGCUAUGUUUGUCAGGACAUUUAUAAUGGCUUUAUAACACAUAUUUCCCUUUCAAAAUGCUAUUCAAUAGUAGAAAACCCACAUUCCAUCCACCAAAAAAAUAAGUCUCAGUGACCCAAUUUUCUAGAGAAGAAUGAAUGUCCUCUCCCUUCUGACUCUCAUUAGCCACCUGCAUAUUGGAAAACUAACAACAAGAGCAAUCAGCACACAGCACAAGGUCCCAGUGCCAUGACCAGAAGGGCUUUUGCCCCAUCCCUGUAUCAGCACAUCCCUAGGAACCUGCAACCAAUCCCUACCCCACAGCCAUCCCACGCAUCUGCAGCACUCCAUGGCUCAGCUGAGAAUACCACGCAGCCUGAGCUGACGUGGGCCGGUGAUUUAACAUCUGCAUCCCACCCUGGUGCCAAGCCCGUCUUUUUUCCAAUACUCAGCAUCCCUCCAUGCACAUGUAAAUAUCCAAAGGGAAACACUGCUGCAGAACUUUUGACCUGCACCGUAAUCCCAGACAGGACGUUAUAGCAACACCUGCAAUGCGCUCUGGCUUUUCCAGCUGAGAGCACUGUGAUCAUGGCACUGCCGUCCCCUCGGGGCACCACAGAUGACCAUGAGCUAAUGAGCACAGUGCAGACACUCUGCAGGAUUUUUGUUCUGAGGCAAUGAGAAAUGGUUCACCAGAAUUGGAGAACCCAAGCAGAGAUGCUCAGGAAGACGUAACCGGUGCCGAAUGAGUUCAGUUCUCCUCUCGUUUUGCCUUUAUACCACAAUGUCUCUGUGCAGACAAAACCUGAGAACUGUCUUCUGAUUUUUCAGACCAGUUUCUCAUCCCUGUGACAGCAGUGUGAUGUAGAGAUCACAAAACCCAGCCAGUCCCCAGCACUCCUUGCUACAGCUUCACACAUCAGCCCUCGCACAUCCAUGCUGAAGGGGGUGCUGGCAAAAGCAAAAACCUUGGUUCUCUCCCUCUCUUCCAGUGAGAAACCAGAGAGAUCCCCAGCUCUUCUCAUUGGAAAAGUGUCAGCUUGCACUGAAAGGGUUUCUGCAGGUCCUAUGUUGUAAAUGAACAAAGAUUAAAAAAAAAAACACAACUUUUUUUUUUCCCUAAACUCAAGUGAAAGGAAGAGUGUGACAAGGAGUCAGGAGUCUGUCUGGCGUGGAAUAUUCCUGCAGCACUCGGGGCUGUGGUUUAUUUUACUGGUGGUGACUAGUUCAAGCCACAUUUAGUCAAUAAAUAUGAGAUAUGAGGUCACCCCGCCAUUUAGCUGUUACCCUGUCUACAUAUUUCACAGCUGGGCAGUAACCUUUUAACUAGCGUCUACCUCGGUGGGGAGUCUCCAUAAAAAAAGAGCCAGGAUCCCUUGGUCGUGGUGGGGGACCCAGGCGCAGGAGCUCCACAAGGAGUUCUGAGCAGAAGGGCCUGCACCAGGCUCUGCCUUUUGCUCUCAUGCCCGUUUGCAGCGCACAGCACCCAGCUGGGCUACGUGCAGGGAUCGGGUGAUGGAGCCACAUCCCAUGUGCUGAGCUCUACAGUAAGAUCCCCCUACUUCUAUGUGGAGAUAGGCCACACGACAAGUUUCCUGUAAUUCCCAGCUUUGGGAGCACCUAUCCAAGGUGAAUGUUUCCAAGGAGCUCAACACCUUCAAAGGGUUUGUUCUCCUCUGCCUGGGUCCACAGCUUCUCCUGUGUGCCUUUACCCUCCAGAAUGAGGGUAUCUCUGUGUUUCUGAGCUCAUAACUCAGGCUAAGUCUGCCAAAGAUUAAACACCCCUGAGCCCAUUGCUCACAUUUCCCACGAGCACAAGAGUAACAGUUCCACACACAGCUGGGAGAGGAUGGUGCAUCCCCAGCUCUGCCCCAGCCUGGUGGGAAACCUCCAGGCUUCAAGUAAGGGAUUCUGAUGCUCCUGUCCCCCUCUGGCACUGCCCAUGAGAAAGCAGUGAGCAUGAGCACAGCCUGAGCCAAAGCUCCUGGCCAACCUCCAGAGAAGUGUGCGCAUCCCCACCAAAACGAAACACGAGUGGACGUGGCAAGAAAAGCGCAGGGAAGAGAAAGCAAACAAAAGCAAAAGAGAGAGGCCACGCAGAGGGAGGAGAGCUGUGAGGCAGAGCACAGAGCUGCGCUAUUUGCUCCGCAUGCUGUGCUGCGGCACACGGAGCCCUGGGGCCUGGGCUGGCACUGCGUGUAGUGCCCGAGAGGGAGAGGCAGGCAAGCAGCGAGCUCCUGCCCCUGGCACACUGGGAAUCCCAGCCCAGCUCUGCCUCCCGACGUCACGCUAAGGCUCAGCACCAACACGGCUCCUCCCAGCUCUGCUGGAGCCUCCGAAAUCGGAACCUCUGCUGUCAGCUGCCUUUUAUAGGGCUAUAAAACCGACAGCUCGUGGGCAGACGUUGGCCAGCAUCAGCCUCUGCCACCUUCAGCAUUGCUCCUGCACAUGGUCCCCAGAGCCACACUCCCCAGAGCCACCUCCUGGUACCCAGCCAACAGCCCCACAGAUGGACAAGCAGACAUGGACAGACGGACAUACAGAGCCACAGAUAACUUGGGUAAGUGUGCCCACAUGAAACAACUCAAGACAGGAAAGCACGCAUAUAUAGAUGCUCAGCAACCUCACCGUGCUCAUCAACAAACAGCAAUGCCAAUCCCAGCUACCUUGGGUUGAAUGCUCCCAAGCAAAGUGGGGCACACCAAGGCAGUAAAGCGUUUGUAUUCAGAUGCUCAGCAUCUUCACGGUGCUCACACAGCCCCCACCCCUUGCUGGGACCGGGCAGCAGUGCCACACGCUGUCACCAGGCACAGCUACAAACACACCUCCCUGUAAUGCUGGGCCCAGCGACAAGAACAACAUGCAGUAACACUGAACCCACCCACUGAGAACACCGAGUGUGUCACACUCCUCUGUGUCAUGUGUUUAAAAAUAUCCCUACCAACAGCCUUUCCCCCUGCCCCUUUUUUUUUCUUUUUGCAUUUAUUUAUAACUUUUGAACACCCAACUUGGCCAGGUGGAAAAACCUUGCAUCAGAGCACAGCUGACGAUGGUGAUGGGUGUCUGCUUGUUGUACGUUAAAUGGGAGGAAAGGGGAAAGAAGGGGAAAAAAAAGUUUGCAAUUACAUGUUCUGUGCAGAGAGGUGUGGCCAUUGGCGCAGGGAUUGGUUUCAGCCUCAGCCACACAGACAGAUGCUCAGGGAGGCGGCUUUUGUGGCUGCUGCAGACACACAAAGAGGGGCAGCCAACAGCUGAGAUUUUACGGGAGCGAAGGGAUUAGAAGCUAAUUGAAAGGCUGAGGAAGAAUUUGGUCCUUCCGCUCAGCACAAGCUGCCCAGAGCAGCACAGAGAGCUGACAGCAGUGGCUGGGAGGAGGCAGGUCCCAUGGAGGGGCUCAGGUCCCCAUGCCAUCACAGCAGCCCCCCCUUACCCUCCCAAAUAAAUGCUGAGGUUAUAUUUAAAUUAUACUAUAUUUUUAUGUAACUUCAUUGUUAGCUUUUGAUAGGAAGCAUCCACAAAUAGAGGCAUCUGGGAGCAAGGCGUGUUUGGAGAACAACCAAAAACAAACAAGCACUUGGUCAGGGCAAGGGGAAUUUUGCUGGCUGUAAGGCAAGGCUGAAGGAAUGAAUAAAGAGUUGGUUGGACGGUCAUACUAAGAGGGUUAUAGUCAACAGCUCUAUGUCCAGGUGGAGGUCCAAGGUCACAAGCAGCAUUCCCCCAGGGGCCCAUCUUGGGACCAGUGCUCUUCAGCAUCUUUAGCAACGGCACUGACAGUGGGAUUGUGUGUACCCUCAGCAAGUUUGCUGACACUAAGCUGAGUGGUGCAGUUGAUACAGUAAAAGGCAGGAAUGCCAUCCAGAGGGACCUGGACACGCUCAAGAAGUGGGCACAUGAGAAUCUAAUGAGAUUCAACAAGGCCAAGUGCAGCAUGUUGCACUUGGGUCAGGGCGAUCCCAGAUACAGGUACAGACUGGGGGGAACUCACUGAGAGCAGUGCUACAGAGAAGGACUCGGGGGUCCUGAUGCACUCCAGGGCCUCAAAUACCUUUUUUGCAGUGAGGUGCCCAGAACCUCAUCCUCAACCCCCUGCAGCUGUGGCUGGAGCCCAUCUCCACCAGAAUAGUUACACUCACAAACUUAACAUGCCUGUCCUGCCCAGUGAGGUGAAAAAGCAUUGAAAGC